UCACAUCUCAAAGCAACCAAUGCUGCAUGUUGCCUCUGAAAACAGACAUAAUUAUGAAACAACUGAAAUGAAGUUGAAGCAACUGAAGGUGGCAGCAUAUCUGAGCAACGUAAGUAAAGCUGCUUUUUUACAUUUCUCGCAUGCACUUUGCAGUCAUUUAUACGCCGACCCCCGAGGCCAAGGCAUAAAAAAAUUGUACAAUACUUCUCAUUUUGGAUGCAACUCAGUGAGGCUUCCGCCUUGAAGCCAGGAGCUGGCAACGCCAUGGUGGACCCAUAGAGGAUUGCCGCC
rnacentral:lncRNA from 1 species